rnacentral:rRNA from 1 species
GACGAACGCUGGCGGCGUGCUUAGCACAUGCAAGUCGAACGGAAAGGCCCUGCUUUUGUGGGGUGCUCGAGUGGCGAACGGGUGAGUAACACGUGAGUAACCUGCCCUUGACUUUGGGAUAACUUCAGGAAACUGGGGCUAAUACCGGAUAGGAGCUCCUGCUGCAUGGUGGGGGUUGGAAAGUUUCGGCGGUUGGGGAUGGACUCGCGGCUUAUCAGCUGGUUGGUGGGGUAGUGGCUUACCAAGGCUUUGACGGGUAGCCGGCGGGAGGGGGGGACCGGCCGCAACGGGACUGAGGUGCGGCCGAGACGCCUACGGGAGGAAGCAGUGGGGAAGAUUGCAGGAUGGGCGGAGGCCGGAUGCAGCAACGCCGCGUGGGGGAUGAUGGCGUUCGGGUUGUAGACCGGUUUCGCUUGUGACGAAGCGUGAGUGAGGGUAAGGGGUAAAGAAGCAGCGGCUAACUACG